rnacentral:rRNA from 1 species
UGAGGAAUAUUGGGUCAAUGGGGCGGAAGCCUGAACCAGCCAUGCCGCGUGAAGGAAGAAGGUCCUAUGGAUUUUAAACUUCUUUUGUCGGAGAGCAAUAAGGGUCUCGUGAGAUCCGAUGAGAGUAUCCGACGAAUAAGCAUCGGCUAACUCCGUGCCAGCAGCCGCGGUAAUACGGGGGAUGCGAGCGUUAUCCGGAUUUAUUGGGUUUAAAGGGUGCGCAGGCGGCGCGUCAAGCCGGUGGUAAAAUUGCGGGGCUCAACCCCGUAGAGCCAUCGGAACUGGCGUGCUUGAGUGGAGAAGAAGUAUGCGGAAUGCGAGGUGUAGCGGUGAAAUGCAUAGAUAUCGCGCAGAACUCCGAUUGCGAAGGCAGCGUACUAUUCUCCAACUGACGCUGAGGCACGAAAGCGUGGGGAUCGAACAGGAUUAGAUACCCUGGUAGU